rnacentral:lncRNA from 1 species
CUGCGGUGAGACUGACACCUGUCGCAUCCCAACCUGGGAGGAGCUGCGAUGCGAUGCGCUUGCCCGGCUGAUCUUCAGUGCACCUGCCUUCGGGAAUCCCUUCUCAGUGGCCUCUGCGGCCCCCUGUGUCCCUGCCCUGCUUCCGAACAGUGCCUCACAGCCAAGCAGGCAUCGCCUCACAUCCUACAUCACACCCGAGCGCGUGCUAAGGGAGAAAUUACAGGAUGUCAGGGCCACGGCUAAUGCGUUCUAAUUACCCACCGCUGCUGUCAUCUGAAGCCUCAAUAGCACUCUGCCAACGGGAUCUGUAAUUGUAAUUACCCCGCCCCCCUUCCUGGACCUAGAACCCGCAGCCUUCCCUUGAGCCCUUCCAAGUUCCCAGCAGCAGUCACAAAGGCUCCACCUGCAGUCGCCUCCAGGGGCAGUCCCAUGCCCCAUAGGACUGUCCUGGGCUCUAGAGAAUCAUGUCCCCAUAGAUGUGGGAGACUUGGGAAGUCCAACCCGGACCCACUUUCUCUGAUGGAAGAGAGUGGUGAGCAAGAAAAGAACCUGAAAGCCUAGGUGAAAUUAACUGUCCCUGGAAGACCAUGGACAAAACUACAGAGUCCCCAUUUUUCUCCUAAAGCUCAGGAGUCUCUCAGGGAAGGACCUUCUGUUUAGCUCACUCACUCACUGGUGGUGAAGGAACCGGCUUCCCUUUUGGCAGCCAUAACAGCCAAACACGUGCUUGCCAUAAACCUGCCUUGGUCACUUAGAGGUCAGAUGCCUGUCUCGUGACAAGGAACCUUAGUCACUAAAAGGUCAGAUGCCUGUCUUGUGACAAGGAACCAAUCAGAAGUUAGCUGGUGGCGCUAUGCUUUACGACCCUGGGUGUGCUUUACGGACAAGCGCACGACAAUGACGUAGAGAGCAUAGCAACCACCCUGGGAGGGCCUAUGAGCCAUAACAACCAGUUGACCAAUCAACACAGGGCAAGCCCUCCAAGCCUGGAGGCACACCAAUCGU